ACCCUCUCUUCAUUGAAAGGCCCAAGUAUUACACAGCUGGGCAGUUUCUUAACAGACCUAUAGCAGAGAAGGGGUUGGGAGAAAAGUUCCCAAAGAAUAGAGAAGUCUUAAAAAAAAAAACAAACUUCAAGAGUGGCACUAAAAUCUACUACAUUCAUAAAGAUAUUUACAACUCCCAAGUAAAAAGGCUACAUGUACUUACUGAACCGUGAGCAAAAGCUCCCACAACAAUAGUUACUGGCUCUGCUGUAGGAACCAGUUCACGCAGGUCUGUCACAUUUGGAACCGCAAAAGAGGUACCUAUCUUCAUACAGCCCACAGGUAGAUGGUCACUGACUGGGUUUUUAAUGACCUACAGGAAAGAAAAAUAUUAAUGACAGCGUAGAGGUAAGAGGCUCUGUCAGAUAGCUGAACCCACAAUAUACGCUGCACUUAAAGCAAACACAUUGCUAGCUGCAAAGAGGAAUCUUGCACCAUUACCUGUAAACAGUCAACGACUGCUUACCUUCAACAGUUUCUGAGGACCAUCAGCUGCUCGAACACUGAGCUUAUGCAGCAACUGAACUGACAAAAGAGAAGAACAUUAGUUAAGCAGUCUGUUCUCUUGCUGGAGGAAGCACAUUCUCUGCCUACUGGUGAGAGCUCAACUAGAAAAGAACUUUAGAGUUCCCAGUAUCCUCUAAAGAAGUUAAAAAAAAAAAAAAAAAACACUGAUCAGAGUUAUUUUGCCAUUAGCACAUUCUCAUGCAGGCAGCUCCCUACUGUACUAAGGAGUGUGUAUUUGUUGUAAGUGGCUGGGAAUUGACAAAAAGAAACUUUCAUUCCUCUCCUCUUUCCUCACUUUUUUGAGUCAGUCCAACUUUUUGACUUCUCCUGAAACUCUUUUGCUCCUGACCACCACCCUGCAUAAUUUUGUGGCCAGUACAAAGCAUGAGUCGCUUACCCAUAAGACCACAGAAUCGAUCAAAAGUUCUUGGGAUCCUGGUCUGAGGAUUAACUUCAAUUAAAACAUUCUUCUGGGUAUGGAUGUACACUUGCAGAAGGCCAGCCCGAUUCAGGGGGCUAUCCAUAAGCAUAAGAAGACUCUGAAGCAAAACAAACAUGCAGUAGUGGAAAUUGAAAAGGUGCAAGGGAGGGAUCUUGGCAAAGACUCCAUGACUGCAGAAAUGACACGACAUAAAAAGAGCCCAUGUGGCCAUACAAGUACUACUGUUAUGCUGAGAAACAAGCAAUCCCAAACGUAAAUAAAUAGUAACACACACGUUAUUAAGUACGAGUAUGGCGGUGUUCCCACCCCAGGGCCAUCAGACGAUACCCCACACUUCGGGGGCACUUUCCCGCAGCGAGUGCCACACCGGCGUGGCCCCGCACACCCCAGACGAGCCCGUGCUGCCAGUGCCUAGCCGGUACCUGGUGGGUGAUGUCGGGCCGCACCUCCCCGGGGUCCCGGCCGCUCCGCAGCAGCAGCGCCUUAUGCUUGUCGCAAUUGAGGAGCUCGAACGUCUUCCCCACCUUCACUGUCUCCAGGCUCGCCCCUUCCAGCACCACUAGAAGCCGCCGCUGCCCGCGGACGCGUUUAGCCUCCAACAGAUCACCAUCCUCCUGCUCCUUCUCCUCACGCGGUCGCCUGGGCGCCGCCAUUUUGUCAGCCC
rnacentral:lncRNA from 1 species